AACGACCAUACCACGCUGAAUACACCGGUUCUCGUCCGAUCACCGAAGUUAAGCAACGUUGGGCCCGGUUAGUACUUAGAUGGGGGACCGCUUA
rnacentral:rRNA from 1 species